AGAUAAAAGUAGCCCAGAACCAAUCCGCAUUGUUCUGGGCUUAGGGGAAUGGCUCAGAAACUGAGCCGUGCGCUACCGGUGAAGCAUUGCGACACUACAGCAAUGCGACAUGAAUUCAGUGUAGCCAAGUGCGUAAAAAUUGCUCAAAU
rnacentral:sRNA from 1 species